GCGGGUGUAGCUCAACGGUAGAGCCCUAGCCUUCCAAGCUAGUCAUGAGGGUUCGAUUCCCUUCACCCGCUCCA
rnacentral:tRNA from 1 species